rnacentral:lncRNA from 1 species
GUUCCAAUAAUCCUCAAAUAUUACGUAUUGCAACGUAUCAAAGUUUGGUGACGAUCCAACGGUCGGAUCGUCAAUUCACAUUUUCACCUAAAUGUGAAAAUUAUAAAACGUUAUUUGAACACCUAACCAACAAUCCUCAAUAACUUUCUCAUACGGUGUUCAAUUUAGGUAUAUGAAUAUACCACAGUGAUCUACUCGACGUCACGGACGUCGACAUAUUUUUAAAAUAAUUUUAUUUUUAUUUUUUAUUUUUACUGUAGCACCUUCUUCUUCCUUGGGUCGCCGGACUGGUUUUCCGGCGGCCGUUUUCCGGGCAGUUUUUCAAAUUGCCAUAACUUUGUCAUUUCUCAACGAAAUCAAGUGAUUCAAAAACGAAAGUUGUAGCCCUUGAAGAGACAAAGAGAAUGGUGCCUUGCACAACACCUAGUUCGCCGUAUUUUGGCCGGAAAAUGCCUCGAAAGCCUCGGAGGUCGCCGGAAACUGGGUAUUUUUCAAAUGAGUAUAACUUCUUCAAUACUCAACGAAAUUGAGUGAAACAAAAAGGAAAGUUGUAGUACUUGACGAGACGAAGAGAUAGAUACCUACCUCGACUCCUAACUCGCCAGGGAUUCGCCGGAAAAUUCCUCGAAAGCUCCGGCCAAACUUUGAACUUGUCAAUCUCCGUGUUCUUACGUCCAAAAACUUCCAACGAAGCACUCCGAGCUUCCUUGGGACCUCACUAAGCCCGCUGUGAUCUUGUUUUAGCCUAAAACGUAGUCAUUUAGAAGAUCAUGAACAGUACCAUUUCACGGGAACUUUGAAACUAGGGUUUUUCGAAGCAAAACUUACCUGAAAUUGAUGUCUACGUGAUCGUGGAAGUUCCAGGAGUCCAAAUGUGGUCUUAUCUUGGACGUUUGUUUAUGUUUUAGGUGGUUUUGGGUGAGGUUGAGCGUCGGAGAGGAAGAGAGAGAACUGAGAGUGAGAGAGAGUCGUGAGGGAAGAGAGAUAGAGAGACAAGGUACGGGAAUUGGGGAAGGUUUUGAGGGAUGUGGGGAUCCCACGUGUCCAACUCAAUCCAAAUUGUUAAAUUUUCGCCCCUUAGUCCCGUUUAAGGGCAUUUUCAUCUUUUCAUGUCCUCGGAAUUAAAAUUCCGGGACGGGCUGUGACAAUCUUCCCUCCUUAUAGAAGUUCGUCCCCGAAAUUCCAGCAACCAACUAAAUCAACCAUACUCCAACAAUAGCUUCGGGUAAAUCUUUCUCAUCCGAUUCUCUUUCUCCCACAUACUUUUCGACUGAAUGAUUUCCUUCACAAAGCUUUUACUACUUACUCUGUCUUAAUUCUCAGGACCUUCUUUUUCCAAUCCAAAGUCGUCCUUGGUUCCUUAUCAAGUCGAAUCCAAUUUAAUUCUCAAUAGUUGCACCAUAAUUCCAUGAGACGACUCUGUCACUUAGUGACAACGCAUCGAACACAAAAUACAUUAAGUACCGUUGCCCUGUCUGGGAAAAAGUUAUUACUCAGCACUGGAGUAAUUGUACUAACUUGGUACAUUGAUCAACUAUCACUUCAAAUUCGAUCAUAACCAUCCUAUGUACAAGGAAACUUGUACACAUAAUCCAAAGUAAUAUCUUUCCAUUUCCACUGCGAAACAGAAAAUAGUUAUCUCAAUCCAAAGGUUUAUCUCUUUCUGCCUCAAUCUGCUGACCAAAUAAAACUGUCGAAUGGUAUGAUAAAUCUUAUUACUUUUGGAAUAUUGCAGAAGUUGAACAGUGAACUUCGUCCAAUAUUUGCUUGCUUCAAAUCCUCAGCAUUAGGCACAUACUUUUUGUUUUCUUGUAUCCACAUACCAUUUGAUUCACGAAUCAUGUACUCAUUCUUAACUUUACUUUAGUUGGUUUCCAAUCCACAAGAAGAUAACCAUGGCAAGCGUACCAGAUAUUAAUUCUUACUGCAGUCUUCUUAUCAAGUGCUUCAGUUACAACAAUUCACGAUCGCCCUGAUCGUACAAUCAUAAUCACUAAGUAAUUCAAUCCACCCUUGUUGCCUCAUAUCAAAAUCCUUCCAAGUAAUGGAUAUUGAAGACUUUUUGGAUUCGUAAAAAAAAAAUCUUGCAUUCUUAUCAACAUAUAAUGUCUCCAUAACUUCACAGCAAGGAUGAUAAUCGUGACUUCCAAAUCACCAGUAGGGUAAUUCAUCUCAUGAGGUUCCAUUUGUCGUGAAACAUAUACAAUCACCCUAACAUUUGCAUCAACAUGCCUCCAAUACCAUUCAAGAAACAUCACUAAAAAUUUAUGAUUACCACUAUUCUCUGGGAUUACUAAAAUACGUGCAUGAGUGAGGAAAUACUUUAGUUGUUGAAUCCUUUGCUCACAAUUUCCUUCCCACUCAUACAUGACCUCUUUUCUCAACAGUCUCGUCAAUGACAAAGCAAUGACUAAAAAUUCUUUCACAACCAUCCAAAAUAGCCUGGUAAGCUAAGAAAUUCCAAAUCUCAAUUACGACUCGUGGUUGUUCCAAAUUCUCAAUUUCUGCUAUCUUUUAAGGAUUCACUUGAAUACCUUAAGAAUAUAUAACAAAUCUUAGAAUGCCACCUGAUUCAUCUAACUUUAGCAUUUGCUACACUUAGCAUACAAUCGACAUUCUUCCAAUCUUUAUUCCACCGACUUAAUACGUUUACAUGCUCUGCUCUGGCUCAGAAUAUGCCAGAAUAUCUUCAAUGAAAAUGAUAUCUAUUUAUCAAGGCAUUAUUGGAAUACUUCAUCCAAUAACUCAUAAAACAGCAUGAGUAUCCAUAUAGCCUCACCAUAGUUCAUAAAACAAUCUUAAGAACAACGUCGCUCAUAAUCUUUAAUUGGUAAUAACCAUACCUCAAUUCAAUCUUUGAAUCUUCGCAAUUACUUCUGAGCUGGUUAAAUAAACAUCAGUACAUCACCAUGGAUAACGGUUCUCAAUCGUUACCCGACUCCAUUGUCUAUAAUCAAUGAACAGUCUCAAGAUCCAUUUUCUUCCUCACCAACAAACUGGGGCUCCUCAAAAGUGUUGUACUAGGUUGAAUGAAACUUUUAUCAACCAAUUCUUUCAACUGAAUUUCCAAUUCCCUUAACUCAUCUUGAACUAAUCUCCAAUAUAAAUUUAUACCUGGCAACAAAUCAAUAAUGAACCUCAUAUCUCUGCCUGAAGGCAAUCCAGGUAUACUUUCAAGGAAGACAUCAAGAAAAGUCUAACUCUUUCGACAUUAUUCACACUACUCCAAACAACAUCAUUUAGCACCACAUGAGCUAAGUAUUUUUGACAGCCUUUCGAAAACAAUCUCUUUGCUCUCACAGCAUACAUAACAGCCUGACUCAAUCCAUUUUGCAUACUUACAAAAGUAAUCUCUGUUCAUCCAGAUCGAUGGAAAGUACUGGUUUCCCAUAACAUUUCGUCUUGUCACAAUUAUAACCAACCAAUCUAAUGGAACAGAAUUAACUGAUACAAUAUAUAUUUUAUUAUUAUUAAGCAUUCCAAAUAAGUACAUUACUAACAUAAAAUAAUCUACCGGGUUGCUUGCUUAACGAAUCCACGAAUGAGUUAUUAAUAUUACGGUCUGCAGCCCGCAAUACUGAUAAAUCAUCGUUGUCUCGAUAAGUAGGCAACCACUCUCAAAGAUAUAACAUUACUAUUUUGUCACUCAAUGCAAAAUACAUACACUCAUCUCAACUACAUUUAUUUACUACUCUCAAGGUAAUAACAUACAUAAUAAGAAAUAUAUCAGCCGAAGUCAACUAGAAUGACCAAUACGGCUGAUUCAACUCUUAUCUCAAUAAUACGUCGGCCGGAUCCACUCCGCGUGGUCGGGUACGGCCGAGCCUAUAACUCACUAAUUUCUCAUGUGUCAAUCGAAUCCACUUCUCAUGGUCUGUACAGCUGAACAUAUAACUCAUUAAAUCUCUCUGUACUCACGGUCAAUCCGACCAAACUACUAAGUCCAUAACUCUGCUGAAUCGACACUAUGAUAUCAUGGAAAAUUAUUGAGUACAACUGAUUCUAGGGACGAUUCACAAUUCUGUGUCCCCUCUGUUCACAUAAACACAUUCAUUAAUUUCACAUUUCCCAAAGUGUUAAUUUUGUACCUGCUGCACAAGGUACAUUUCCUUUACUCGAGACACCUUGUCUCAAAUAUCUGGGAUUACCAGUAUAUCCAUCACUUUUUACUCUGACCAGCGACAUUAAAACCUCAGCUGGAAGAAUUAACUCUAGCUUCACUUCUUUCGAAGCUCUGAAUCUUUCUAUAUCCUUGAUAUGACGAAUCAUUAACUUUAUCGUCAACUUCCUUGAUUCACAUUUGCAAACUCUUGCUUACUACCAUCGAUAAAUGCCGGAGGGAUAAACUUUUCCUUAAAAAAUUUUAAAUCGGCUGAUUCCUCUGGUGACAACAAUUAACAUUCCUGUUUCCACCAGGAUACAAUUUCAUACCCAAAACCAGGUAGUCGUCUCGACCCACCUGUCAGAAGGAAAUUUCCUUUAACUUGCAUAUUCCGAAACAUCUUUUCCAAUUGGUUAAUCCGUCACUUCGUUCCCUCAGGUUGAUCAUUCCAUAAGGUGAUUCAAAUUCAACUCAUAACCCGUCUUAAAAUGUCCCUUUAGACAAUAGACUGAAUCACCAUAGUAAUAGUUUCCCCCAAAACCGCUAAAUUAGGGAGACUAAGUUCCUCUAACUACGUGGUUUGCUACGAGGCGGUGUAGUUCUGACAGAAUUCACUAGAACUUCUCAAAAUGUCCAAGAUUGCAACCAUGCUCUGAUACCAACUGACACACCCCGUCCCGAAGGAGGGCAUGCUGGCCGUCACGUGAGAGUGAUGUAACCAUUUGCACAGUACGGAAGCUUUAAUUAUACAAUUUAAAGUUGAUACACCCGAAGGUGAGUCCUAAUUUUGUCCAAUCUGUCAGAACCCCGCUGUAUUCCUCGUAGUCACCACACCUUUGUGAUUCCUGAACCUGGAGGGGCGCAAAACCAAAAUUGAGUGGGUCAGUAAAACAAUUCUUUUCCAAAUCCAAACAUUUCUCAAAACGUUGUAACCCCUCUCCGUAAAACCUGUAUACUUUCCCAGAAAUGUAAAAUAUAUAAAUAUACAUAUAUAUUCUCAAUACUUCAUUUCACUUUUUCAACAUUUUUCAUAUCAGUUAUGCCAUGCCACAUCAUCUCAACAUUUCUCAUAUUAAUUAUGCCAUGCCACAUCAUCUCAACAUUAAUAAGGUAUGAAUGCAUCAACAUAAUCAUAUCAGGUGCAAGAAAGUAAUCAACCGUAGGCCCUCUAAUAGCCCUGUACGGUUGAACCUAGAGCUCAAAAUCUAUCAUUAUCACUCUAUCGGAGUCACCUCUGUGACCCGUCCGGCCUUCUGCACGCAAGUUACGCUCUAGUGCUUCUCAUAAAUCAUCUGUGCACAUAAUCUAAGGUCACCCACCAGUCGGAAUCUCACUAACACUCUCGCGACUGGUCUGUCGUACCCACUCCGCGUGGACUGUACGACUAGCAUCUACUUGGAUCCAAGGCGAGCGUGCGAUGCGGUGAAUACUAUAAGCACUAAACCAUGGUGCAGGAUUUGAGCUCAAUAUAUAUCAUCAUCAUCAUAACAGUAAUUAAAUACUCACCUGUGCGUCCACCGCACCAUUUCAUACAUAUGCAUCAUAAAUCAAUUCUUACUUGUGCGUCCACCGCACCAAUUCAUGCAUAUACCGCACCAAUUCAUACAUAUGCAUCAUAAAUCAAUUCUUACUUGUGCGUCCACCGCACCAAUUCAUACAUAUGCAUCAUAUAUUAAUUCAUGCAUGGCAUUUCAACUCACAUUUCUAUAUACUUUUCAUAUCAAUUCUAUGCAUGGUAUUUCACUUCCCGUUUUUCCACAUAACUCAUAUGCAUUUCAUUUUAAACAUAUUUUCAUUUCAAUUCAAUUUCUGGGAAACGUCAAGUAUAUAUAUAUAUAUACGGAAAACAAAACUGCCCACUCACCUGGAGUUCGCCCUACAACUCCCUAGCACAAUACGCCAAGGCGUCAUGACGAUCGGCGCCUAAAACAAUAAUCAAUUCCAACCUCAGAAUUCAUAUCGAUAAAAUAUAUAACUUAUAUAAAAUACGUCACUACGUAAAUUGAUCCGGAAGAUCCACCCCUCAGAUUUUAAAUCCAUAACUUCCAGAGGUCCACAUUAUACCUCUAGGACAACAUCCUAAAAUUUCAUUACCAUCCAACGGUCGGAUCUCCGUCAAUUUCCAAAACUAAGUGACGGUUAACAUUUUAUAUUAUGGACUUACAAUUCCAAUUCCGGAAGAUCCGCAAAUCGGAUUCCCAAUCUGUAAGUUCCAAUAAUCCUCAAAUAUUACGUAUUGCAACGUAUCAAAGUUUGGUGACGAUCCAACGGUCGGAUCGUCAAUUCACAUUUUCACCUAAAUGUGAAAAUUAUAAAACGUUAUUUGAACACCUAACCAACAAUCCUCAAUAACUUUCUCAUACGGUGUUCAAUUUAGGUAUAUGAAUAUACCACAGUGAUCUACUCGACGUCACGGACGUCGACAUAUUUUUAAAAUAAUUUUAUUUUUAUUUUUUUAUUUUUACUGUAGCACCUUCUUCUUCCUUGGGUCGCCGGACUGGUUUUUCCGGCGGCCGUUUUCCGGGCAGUUUUUCAAAUUGCCAUAACUUUGUCAUUUCUCAACGAAAUCAAGUGAUUCAAAAACGAAAGUUGUAGCCCUUGAAGAGACAAAGAGAAUGGUACCUUGCACAACACCUAGUUCGCCGUAUUUUGGCCGGAAAAUGCCUCGAAAGCCUCGGAGGUCGCCGGAAACUGGGUAUUUUUCAAAUGAGUAUAACUUCUUCAAUACUCAACGAAAUUGAGUGAAACAAAAAGGAAAGUUGUAGUACUUGACGAGACGAAGAGAUAGAUACCUACCUCGACUCCUAACUCGCCGGGGAUUCGCCGGAAAAUUCCUCGAAAGCUCCGGCCAAACUUUGAACUUGUCAAUCUCCGUGUUCUUACGUCCAAAAACUUCCAACGAAGCACUCCGAGCUUCCUUGGGACCUCACUAAGCCCGCUGUGAUCUUGUUUUAGCCUAAAACGUAGUCAUUUAGAAGAUCAUGAACAGUACCAUUUCACGGGAACUUUGAAACUAGGGUUUUUCGAAGCAAAACUUACCUGAAAUUGAUGUCUACGUGAUCGUGGAAGUUCCAGGAGUCCAAAUGUGGUCUUAUCUUGGACGUUUGUUUAUGUUUUAGGUGGUUUUGGGUGAGGUUGAGCGUCGGAGAGGAAGAGAGAGAACUGAGAGUGAGAGAGAGUCGUGAGGGAAGAGAGAUAGAGAGACAAGGUACGGGAAUUGGGGAAGGUUUUGAGGGAUGUGGGGAUCCCACGUGUCCAACUCAAUCCAAAUUGUUAAAUUUUCGCCCCUUAGUCCCGUUUAAGGGCAUUUUCAUCUUUUCAUGUCCUCGGAAUUAAAAUUCCGGGACGGGCUGUGAC